GCCACGGUGGCUCAGUGGCUAGAGCGCCACCUUGGUAAGGUGGAUGUCGUGGGUCCGAAUCCCACCCGUGGCU
rnacentral:tRNA from 1 species